AAGACAACCAGGAUGUUGGCUCAGAAGCAGCCAUACAUUCAAAGAGUGCGUAAUAGCUCACUGGUCGAGAGGUCCUGCGCCGAAAAUGUCCGGGGCUGAAACACGACACCGAAGCUGAGGAAUGUCUGAAGACAUUGGUAGAGGAGCAUUGGAUACGCAACGAAGCAGUACCGGAAGGAGCUGUGGAGUGUAUCGAAGAGAGAAUGCCGGAAUGAGUAGCGAGAGAGAGGUGGGAAUCCUCUCGGCCGAAUAUCUAAGGUUUCCAGGGUAAAGCUGAUCUGCCCUGGGUAAGUCGGGGCCUAAGGCGAGGACGAGAGUCGUAGCCGAUGGACAACAGGUUGAGAUUCCUGUACUGCAGUAAGACAGAACUGUGGGGACACGUGUGGAGAGCAUAGGCGCGGAAUGGAAAGCCGCGUGCAAGCGAGGUAGGAGUCCUGUAGGAAAAACCGCAGGGCAAUCCGAAGGCGUGAUGCGGACCGAAAUCUAGUAGGGAAGUAUGUGAGCCAUGCGUCAAGAAAAGCCGCUAUUGUUCUUAUUGUACCCGUACCGUAAACCGACACAGGUGGAUGAGGAGAGAAUCCUAAGGCCGACGGAAGAAGCAUUGUUAAGGAACUCGGCAAAAUGACCCCGUAACUUCGGGAGAAGGGGUGCCACAGAAAUGUGGCCGCAGAGAAUAGGCUCAAGCAACUGUUUAGCAAAAACACAGGUCUAUGCAAAACCGAAAGGUGAGGUAUAUGGGCUGACGCCUGCCCGGUGCUGGAAGGUUAAGAGGAGAGGUUAGCGCAAGCGAAGCUUUGAAUUGAAGCCCCAGUAAACGGCGGCCGUAACUAUAACGGUCCUAAGGUAGCGAAAUUCCUUGUCGGGUAAGUUCCGACCCGCACGAAAGGCGUAAUGAUUUGAGCGCUGUCUCGACAAUGCAUCCGGUGAAAUUGAAGUACCAGUGAAGAUGCUGGUUACCUGCGCCAGGACGGAAAGACCCCAUGGAGCUUUACUCCAGCUUGAUACUGGGAUUCGGUAUUGCAUGUACAGGAUAGGUGGGAGGCUGAGAAUCGGUAACGCCAGUUGCCGAGGAGCCAUUGUUGGGAUACCACCCUUGCAGUACUGGGUUUCUAACCAGCAGCCGUGACCCGGCUGGGGGACAAUGUCAGGUGGGGAGUUUGACUGGGGCGGUCGCCUCCGAAAGGGUAUCGGAGGCGCUCAAAGGUUCCCUCAGAAUGGUUGGAAACCAUUCGAAGAGUGCAAAGGCAGAAGGGAGCUUGACUGCGACACCGACGGGUGGAGCAGGUACGAAAGUAGGACUUAGUGAUCCGGUGGUAUUAAGUGGGAAUGCCAUCGCUCAACGGAUAAAAGCUACCCUGGGGAUAACAGGCUUAUCACUCCCAAGAGUUCACAUCGACGGAGUGGUUUGGCACCUCGAUGUCGGCUCAUCGCAUCCUGGGGCUGUAGUAGGUCCCAAGGGUUGGGCUGUUCGCCCAUUAAAGCGGUACGCGAGCUGGGUUCA
rnacentral:rRNA from 1 species